CGCAAGUCUGACCGAGCAACGCCGCGUGAGUGAAGACGGUUUUCGGAUCGUAAAGCUCUGUUGUAGGGGAAGAACGUGUGUAAGAGUGGAAAGCUUACACAGUGACGGUACCCUACCAGAAAGGGACGGCUAACUACGUGCCAGCAGCCGCGGUAAUACGUAGGUCCCGAGCGUUGUCCGGAUUUAUUGGGCGUAAAGGGAGCGCAGGCGGUUUAGUAAGUCUGAAGUUAAAGGCAUUGGCUCAACCAAUGUAUGCUUUGGAAACUGUUAGACUUGAGUGCAGAAGGGGAGAGUGGAAUUCCAUGUGUAGCGGUGAAAUGCGUAGAUAUAUGGAGGAACACCGGUGGCGAAAGCGGCUCUCUGGUCUGUCACUGACGCUGAGGCUCGAAAGCGUGGGUAGCGAACAGGAUUAGAUACCCUGGUAGUCCACGCCGUAAACGCUGAGUGCUAGGUGUUAGGUCCUUUCCGGGACUUAGUGCCGACGCUAACGCAUUAAGCACUCCGCCUGGUGAGUACGACCGCAAGGUUGAAACUCAAAGGAAUUGACGGGGGCCCGCACAAGCGGUGGAGCAUGUGGUUUAAUUCGAAGCAACGCGAAGAACCUUACCAGGUCUU
rnacentral:rRNA from 1 species